rnacentral:rRNA from 1 species
AGAGCGUACGGUGGAUGCCUUGGCACCAGGAGCCGAUGAAGGACGUAGGAGGCUGCGAUAAGCCUCGGGGAGCUGUCAACCGAGCUGAGAUCCGAGGAUGUCCGAAUGGGGAAACCCAGCACGAGUGAUGUCGUGUUACCCGCACCUGAAUAUAUAGGGUGUGUGGAGGGAACGUGGGGAAGUGAAACAUCUCAGUACCCACAGGAAGAGAAAACAAUAGUGAUUCCGUGAGUAGUGGCGAGCGAAAGCGGAAGAGGCUAAACCAUGGAUGUGUGAUAGCCGGCAGGUGUUGCAUUCGUGGGGUUGUGGGGUUCAUCUUGUCAAUGCUGCCGUGUUGGCCGACAGUAAGAAAUCAUUGUGUUAGUGGAAGUGGUCUGGAACGGCCUGUCGUAGAGGGUGAGAGUCCCGUACACGAAAACAUGAUGACUGUCGUGAUGGAAACCCAAGUAGCACCGGGCCCGUGAAAUCUGGUGUGAAUCUGUCGGGACCACCCGAUAAGCCUGAAUACUCCCUGGUGACCGAUAGCGGACUAGUACCGUGAGGGAAAGGUGAAAAGUACCCCGGGAGGGGAGUGAAAUAGUACCUGAAACCGUGCGCUUACAAUCCGUCAAAGCCUUCGAGUGACUUGUCACUGGGGGUGAUGGCGUGCCUUUUGAAGAAUGAGCCUGCGAGUUAGUGGCAUGUCGCGAGGUUAACCCGUGUGGGGUAGCCGUAGCGAAAGCGAGUCCGAAUAGGGCGUUUUUAGUGGCAUGUUCUAGACCCGAAGCGGAGUGAUCUACCCAUGGCCAGGUUGAAGCGACGGUAAGACGUCGUGGAGGACCGAACCCACUUAGGUUGAAAACUGAGGGGAUGAGCUGUGGGUAGGGGUGAAAGGCCAAUCAAACUCCGUGAUAGCUGGUUCUCCCCGAAAUGCAUUUAGGUGCAGCGUCGCGUGUUUCUCACCGGAGGUAGAGCUACUGGAUGGUCUAGGGGGCCCACAAGCUUACCGAAAUCAGCCAAACUCCGAAUGCCGGUGAGUGAGAGCGCGGCAGUGAGACUGCGGGCGAUAAGGUUCGUAGUCGAGAGGGAAACAGCCCAGAUCGCCAGCUAAGGUCCCUAAGCGUGUACUAAGUGGAAAAGGAUGUGGGGUCGCGAAGACAACCAGGAGGUUGGCUUAGAAGCAGCCACCCUUGAAAGAGUGCGUAAUAGCUCACUGGUCAAGUGAUCCUGCGCCGACAAUGUAGCGGGGCUCAAGUACACCACCGAAGCUGCGGCAUUCACACAAUGCACCCCUGCGAUUCUGCGGAGUCGUGGGCAGUGGUGUGGAUGGGUAGGGGAGCGUCGUGUGGCCAUGGAAGCGGCGGGGUGACCCAGCCGUGGAGGCCACACGAGUGAGAAUGCAGGCAUGAGUAGCGAAAGACGAGUGAGAAACUCGUCCGCCGAAUGACCAAGGUUCCUGGGCCAGGUUAAUCCGCCCAGGGUGAGUCGGGACCUAAGACGAGGCCGACAGGCGUAGCCGAUGGACAACGGGUUGAUAUUCCCGUACCCGUGUGAACGCGCCCCUGGUGAAUCAGUGAUACUAACCAUCCUGAAGCGUCCUUACGUCCCUUCGGGGGCCCUGGAUGUGGAUGCAUGGGACCUGAUCUGGUAGUAGCCAAGCGAUGGGGUGACGCAGGAAGGUAGCUGAGCCAGUCAGUGGUAAUACUGGUGUAAGCCUGUAGGGCGAAUGGUAGGCAAAUCCGCCAUUCACACAGCCUGAGAGGUGACGCAUAGCCGAAUGAGGCGAAUUCAGUGAUCCUAUGCUGCCGAGAAAAGCCUCUAGCGAGCUUUCACACGGCCCGUACCCCAAACCGACACAGGUGGUCAGGUAGAGAAUACUAAGGCGAUCGAGAUAACUAUGGUUAAGGAACUCGGCAAAAUGCCCCCGUAACUUCGGGAGAAGGGGGGCCUCGUCCGGUGAUCACUCUUGCAGUGUGAGCUGGGUGGGGCCGCAGAGACCAGUGAGAAGCGACUGUUUACUAAAAACACAGGUCCGUGCGAAGUCGUAAGACGAUGUAUACGGACUGACGCCUGCCCGGUGCUGGAAGGUUAAGAGGACCGGUUAGCUCUUCGGAGCGAAGCUGAGAAUUUAAGCCCCAGUAAACGGCGGUGGUAACUAUAACCAUCCUAAGGUAGCGAAAUUCCUUGUCGGGUAAGUUCCGACCUGCACGAAUGGCGUAACGACUUCUCAGCUGUCUCAACCAUAGACUCGGCGAAAUUGCAUUACGAGUAAAGAUGCUCGUUACGCGCGGCAGGACGAAAAGACCCCGGGACCUUCACUACAGCUUGGUAUUGGUGUUCGGUUCGGUUUGUGUAGGAUAGGUGGGAGACUGUGAAGCGCUCACGCCAGUGAGUGUGGAGUCGUUGUUGAAAUACCACUCUGAUCGUAUUGGACCUCUAACCUCGGACCAUGAUCUGGUUCAGGGACAGUGCCUGGUGGGUAGUUUAACUGGGGCGGUUGCCUCCCAAAAUGUAACGGAGGCGCCCAAAGGUUCCCUCAGCCUGGUUGGCAAUCAGGUGUCGAGUGCAAGUGCACAAGGGAGCUUGACUGUGAGACUGACAGGUCGAGCAGGGACGAAAGUCGGGACUAGUGAUCCGGCACCGGCAAGUGGAAGCGGUGUCGCUCAACGGAUAAAAGGUACCCCGGGGAUAACAGGCUGAUCUUCCCCAAGAGUCCAUAUCGACGGGAUGGUUUGGCACCUCGAUGUCGGCUCGUCGCAUCCUGGGGCUGGAGUAGGUCCCAAGGGUUGGGCUGUUCGCCCAUUAAAGCGGCACGCGAGCUGGGUUUAGAACGUCGUGAGACAGUUCGGUCUCUAUCCGCCGCGCGCGUUAGAAACUUGAGGAAGGCUGUCCCUAGUACGAGAGGACCGGGACGGACGAACCUCUGGUGUGCCAGUUGUUCCACCAGGAGCACCGCUGGUUAGCUACGUUCGGAAGGGAUAACCGCUGAAAGCAUCUAAGCGGGAAGCCUGUUCCAAGAUGAGGUUUCU